AGGGCUAUAGCUCCGUUAGGUAGAGCACCUCAUUUACACCAGAGGGCCUAUGGUUUGAGUCCGUAUAGCCCUA
rnacentral:tRNA from 1 species